rnacentral:piRNA from 1 species
CUGUGGCUUACCUUAGCAUAUUUCUCUGC